rnacentral:lncRNA from 1 species
AAACCUGGGGGUUAGGGGAAAAGGGUGAGCUACUAGAGCCUAGUGAGCAGAACAGUAAAAACAAUUUAUAAAGAUAUGCCAUCAUGAAAUGCAUCACAACACAAGUAAAUCACCUUAAGAUGGUAUUGUCACCAAUAGCCCUCUACAUAUCCAAUAAAUGUCCGGCCCUCGACGGAGCUCCUCAGGACUUCCUCUUAACAUA